UGAUGGUUGACUACAAGAAAAAUAUAAGAGAAAGAGGAGAGUGUCAAUAUUGCCCGGACAAGAAAACACAGGAAAAAAUGAAUUGCAUUGAGAAAGUGAUUAAAAGAAAUUGAUUCCGUUAUUUCUGAGAGAAAAAAACGCAUAUAUAUAUAGAAUACACCUAGCAACGAGUUUGCUUGUAUCACAUGGCUCUUGAGUCUGCACUUUUCAGGAUUUAACUCUUAAGAGAGCCACAGAAUUAUCAGAGCAGAGCCGAAAGCCAAGUAACUAUUCUUCUAAGUAGAACCAGAAACCUAGUUCUUCCCCAACUGCAAUGAAGAUUCGCUGGUGGGUGAAUGGGCAACUAAAGGCCAGAGAAGUUCUAUUAUUUGCCCUAAAUCACUCAACUAAUUAGUGGUCAUACUGGAAUCAGAACCAAGAUUUUGCAUUGUUAGGUUUUAAUUUUGUUACAUUUGCACUCUAACUGCACUGAAAACAGAAAAAAGAAAUGCGUAGUGCAGUUUCUAAAUUGCCACAGCUGGAGCACUUUAAGAGCUACAAUUGUCCAGUUAAGGCGGUAGUGGGUGGAUGGUGCUGCCAUGUUAAUUCGGUGGAAUAAAACCAGAGGUGAGUUAGGCCGGGCGCGGUGGCUCACGCUUGUAAUCCCAGCACUUUGGGAGGCCGAGGUGGGCGGAUCACCUGAGGUCGCGAGUUUGAGACCAGCCUGACCAACAGGGAGAAACCCCGUCUACCAAAAAUACAAAAUUAGCCGGCCCUGGUGGCAUGCGCCCGUAAUCCCAGCAACUCGGGAGGCUGAGGCAGGAGAAUCGCUUGAACCCAGGAGGCGGAGGUUGCGGUGAGCGGAGAUCGCGCCAUUGCACUCCAGCCUGGGAAACAAGAGCGAAACUCCCUCUCAAAAAAAACAAAAAACAGAAAAACAAACAAAAAAAACAGAGGUGAGUUCAGCAGAAGAAACAAAGGUGGAUUAUUAGUCUUAAGUGUGCGUGCCUACUUCAGGAAGGGAGUGAAAGCAAAAAACUGAGGAGCUAAGGGUGGGAGGGGGAAUGAAAGGAUCUCAGAAUGUGGGCGUCGUGGGUGGGAAAAGGGAUGCCAGGACACCAGAAGAGCAAUACAAAACAGCUCCCGUGAGCAGGCAC
rnacentral:lncRNA from 10 species